rnacentral:lncRNA from 1 species
CCAUGUACAAAUUUUUCAGAAAGCCGUCUGUUGCAGCACAGUAUAAGGGCGAGCGAUUAAAGCGACUGCUUGAUCAGAGAUGGACUGGCCAUUUCGCCACAGUAUCUGCCAUCAUUGCAUCUUACCAGGACAUUACUUCUUUCUUGUCCGAGAUUGAAUCAGACCGGGCAUACUGCUCUGAGAUCAGGAUGGAGGCUAUCGGGCUGCUGCGAGAAAUAUCUGAGACAAACUUCAUGUUCAUUGCACGUCUUGUACAAAAGCUGCUAAAGCUUUUAGACCCCCCAAAUAAGCUCCUCCAGGGUGAGGACAUGGACCUUUUAACGGGACUUGAACUAGUUGCUUGCUCUACUGAAUGUGUUCGUAAACUGCGCUGUGACACCGAGUUUGCUGAUCUCUGGCGUGCCGUCACAGAUAGUAAUGCUCUUGUGACUCCCACAAAACGGCGACGUACAUUCAGUAAGAAUAUGAGUCAGUAUUUGGUUGAAGGUACGACUGCACAGAAGGAUACUGACGAGACAGAAUUACGAAGGCUGUUUUACAGUGCAAUUGAUAAUGUGCUUGGAGAGCUGAAUCAGCGUUUCAAUGAACGGAAUACUAAGCUUGCUCGUGCACUUGCUGCUUUUGAUCCAAAAACCGAUAAUUUUUUAGACAUAAACCUUGUGAAACAUAUCACAGACCUGGCCGGUUCUACCACAGUGGAGGAAGAGUUUGUUGUGGCAAAAACAUUUUUUCAAACUCAAAUGGAACGCGAAAAAGAAACUAAGUGGACUCUGAAACGACUCCUUCAGAACCACAAAAAAACAUUGGAAGCCAUGCCAAGCGUCCUGAUUGCGAUGAAACUUGCUUUAACGUUUGGUGCUUCCACAGCCAUGUGUGAGAAUUCAUUUUCAGUCUUGAAGAAUGUUUUUACGGACCACAGACGUUCUAUGCACCAUAUUCGGAAGGCACAGCUUGUGCAGCUAGCGUUCGAGCGAGAUCUUACAAGAAAAUGCACAAAUGAAUGGAAAGAAAAGGUCCUAAGGAGGUUCUGCUCGGACUCCCGUCGUCUACAGCUUUUC